GUGAGGGGGUGACUAGUGACAGAGUGAGGGAAGGGGUGACUAGUGGCAGAGUGAGGGAAGGGGUGACUAGUGGCACAGUGAGGGAAGGAAGGGGUGACUAGUGACAGAGUGAGGGAGGUGGUGACUGUCACUAGUCACCACCUCCCUCACUGUCACUACUCCCUCCUUCUGUCACUAGUCACGCCCUCCCUCACUCUGUCACAUGUCAUCCCCUCCCUCACUCUGUCACCAGUCAUCCCCUUCCCUCACUCUGUCCCCCCCUCACUCUGUCACUAGUCACCCCCUCAC